rnacentral:rRNA from 1 species
AGAGUUUGAUCCUGGCUCAGAUUGAACGCUGGCGGCAGGCCUAACACAUGCAAGUCGAGCGGUAGAGAGGUGCUUGCACCUCUUGAGAGCGGCGGACGGGUGAGUAAAGCCUAGGAAUCUGCCUGGUAGUGGGGGAUAACGCUCGGAAACGGACGCUAAUACCGCAUACGUCCUACGGGAGAAAGCAGGGGACCUUCGGGCCUUGCGCUAUCAGAUGAGCCUAGGUCGGAUUAGCUAGUUGGUGAGGUAAUGGCUCACCAAGGCGACGAUCCGUAACUGGUCUGAGAGGAUGAUCAGUCACACUGGAACUGAGACACGGUCCAGACUCCUACGGGAGGCAGCAGUGGGGAAUAUUGGACAAUGGGCGAAAGCCUGAUCCAGCCAUGCCGCGUGUGUGAAGAAGGUCUUCGGAUUGUAAAGC